CCCUGCCGAGCAGGGAGCCCGAUGUGAGACUCGAUCCUGGGACUCCAGGAUCAUGACCUGAGCCGAAGGCAGUCGCUUAACCAACUGAGCCACCCAGGCGCCCUUUUUUAAAAAUUUUUUAAAGAUUUAUUUAUUUGAGAGAGAGAGACAGCGAGAGAGGGAACACAAGCAGGGGGAGUGGGAGAGGGAGAAGCAGGCCUCUCGCUGAACAGGAGCCCAAUGAGGGGCUUGAUCCCACGACCCUGGGAUCAUGACCUGAGCUGAAGGCAGACGCUUAAUGACUGAGCCACCCAGGCGCCCCAAUAUAUUUUAUUUAAUGCAUACAAACAUUAGUUACAUUUCAUAAUCUGUUUAUAAAAUAUAUGCCAGCCCCCAGAAUGCCAAAUGCUUUCCUGUUAUUUUGUAACUGUGCUGGAAAUUAUCUUCCUUGCUAAACGUAACACAUAUUCUCUGAGAACUGCUCCCUUCCACUUUCACUUUGGAGAACCUCAGUGGUUUACUUUUGUACUGCAGAACCUGCCCUCUUUCUCCAUACUUCAUGAUUGGAUCAAGGAUGGACACCUACUCUAUAUAGUGCUAAACCCAGUAACAGGUAAAUUUGGAGUAAUGUGAGUGGCCCUCUUUGAAUAGGUGCAUAUACAAAAGUUCUCAAGUUUUAGUUUGUCUCUAAACAUAGAAUGAAGCCUCAGCUGUAUAAAGAAAAUCAGCAAUGAGAAAGAUGAAGAGAAUGAAGAAUUUUUAACAACUUUCUAGGGGUGACUGGCUGGAAGAAACAAACUGGUUCUUAAAACAUCUGCAUCAAAUAAGGAAGAAGUCAUAAUACUUCAAAAUGAAAGCGAGUAAUUACAGUCUUUUGAGUUCAAAAGAUCAAGAGAGAAUUGAAUGACUUACGGAAUAGUCUAAUUUUUCAGGACUCAGAUCAGAGCUAUCUCCUUUUUUUUUUUUUUUUUAAGAUUUUAUUUAUUUAUUUGACAGAGUGAGAGAUCAUGAGAGCAGGAACACAAGCAGGGGGAGUGGGAGAGGGAGAAGCAGGCUUCCUGCCUAGCAGGGAGCCCGAUAUGGGGCUUGAUCCCAGGACCCCGGGAUCAUGACCUGAGCCAAAGGCAGACACUUAACGACUAGCCACCCAGGAGAGCUAUCUCCUGUCAAGGUUAUGUUAAGUCAGGUACCCUCAUGCCACUCUUGGCACCUCUGUCUUACUGCAUUUGUCUCAGGGUAUGGAAAUUAUUUUUACUUUUAUUUUUCCUAUAGCCUCUUAAGAAAUAUCAUAAUUAGAUUGCAUGUGUUAUACACAGUAAGCUUUUUUCCUAAAACAAAACUCUACUUUAACCUGUAGGUUUGCUUUCUAUACCUGGACACAGUUUUGUAAAACUUUUAUCUUUUGAAAACAGUCCCAAACUAAUCCCAAAUCCUCCAGGUUCUCUUCUAACCCUCCAUUUUCAUGUAUUCUCUUUUUUUCCACUAUAUUUACUCUGCCUUUCUCACUUAAAAUCUUACUGUCUUUUAUGUAGGUGGUCAAGGAAAGACUGAGAAGUAGAUGAGGCCCGAAUUCUUAGGAAGGUAUAGAGGCUAGAUGCCAGAGAACAGUUAGGCGUUAACUGUUUUUUUCCCCCCCAUUUCAUCAUUCUCUGCAAGUAGACAUUAUCAUUAUUUUAUCAAACUAGCCUAGCAUAAUGGUUGUCAUUUGGUAGGUAUUCAGUAAAUAUCUUUUUGUUGUUUGAUU